rnacentral:rRNA from 1 species
ACGAACGCUGGCGGCGUGCUUAACACAUGCCAGUCGAACGUGAUUUUUGUGGAAAUUCUUUCGGGAAUGGAAAUGAAAUGAAAGUGGCGAACGGGUGAGUAACACGUGAGCAACCUACCUUACACAGGGGGAUAGCCGUUGGAAACGACGAUUAAUACCGCAUGAGACCACAGAAUCGCAUGAUAUAGGGGUCAAAGAUUUAUCGGUGUAAGAAGGGCUCGCGUCUGAUUAGCUAGUUGGAAGGGUAAAGGCCUACCAAGGCGACGAUCAGUAGCCGGUCUGAGAGGAUGAACGGCCACAUUGGAACUGAGACACGGUCCAAACUCCUACGGGAGGCAGCAGUGGGGAAUAUUGCACAAUGGGGGGAACCCUGAUGCAGCGACGCCGCGUGAGCGAAGAAGGUUUUCGAAUCGUAAAGCUCUGUCCUAUGAGAAGAUAAUGACGGUAUCAUAGGAGGAAGCCCCGGCUAAAUACGUG